rfam:Stomoxys calcitrans breed 8C7A2A5H3J4 unplaced genomic scaffold Scaffold359, whole genome shotgun sequence.
CGUAGCGCACAGGUUAGCGUAUCCGCCUAUUACGCUGAAAGCCUGGGUUCGAAUCCUGGCG